rnacentral:rRNA from 1 species
CCAGACUCCUACGGGAGGCAGCAGUGAGGAAUAUUGGUCAAUGGCCGAGAGGCUGAACCAGCCAAGUCGCGUGAGGGAAGACGGUCCUAUGGAUUGUAAACCUCUUUUGUCGGGGAGCAACGAGGCCACGUGUGGCCGAAGUGAGAGUACCCGAAGAAAAAGCAUCGGCUAACUCCGUGCCAGCAGCCGCGGUAAUACGGAGGAUGCGAGCGUUAUCCGGAUUUAUUGGGUUUAAAGGGUGCGUAGGCGGAAUAUCAAGUCAGCGGUAAAAAUUCGGGGCUCAACCCCGUCGUGCCGUUGAAACUGAUGUUCUUGAGUGGGCGAGAAGUAUGCGGAAUGCGUGGUGUAGCGGUGAAAUGCAUAGAUAUCACGCAGAACUCCGAUUGCGAAGGCAGCAUGCCGGCUCCACACUGACGCUGAGGCACGAAAGCGUGGGUAUCGAACAGGAUUAGAUACCCCAGUA